rnacentral:rRNA from 1 species
CCCUUAGAUGUCCGGGGCCGCACGCGCGCUACACUGAAGGAAUCAGCGUGGCUUUCUCCCUGACCCGAAAGGGUUGGGAAACCCGUUGAAUCUCCUUCGUGGUAGGGAUUGGGGCUUGAAAUUGUUCCCCAUGAACGAGGAAUUCCCAGUAAGCGCGAGUCAUAAGCUCGCGUUGAUUACGUCCCUGCCCUUUGUACACACCGCCCGUCGCACCUACCGAUUGAAUGGUCCGGUGAGGCCUCGGGAUUGUGGCCAGUUUCCUUUAUUGGGAGUUGGCUGCGAGAACUUGUCCAAACCUUAUCAUUUAGAGGAAGGUGAAGUCGUAACA